AAAGUGGUUUUCCUAGGGUGAGGCUCAUCCAUUGCACUUCAGGUGUGCUGAUCCCUGUGAUUUCCCCAAAUGUGGGGAACUCAACUGCAUAACGUGUGGUGAUGGAGAAUUGCAUUUGUGCUUUCUCUG
rnacentral:snRNA from 1 species